rnacentral:rRNA from 1 species
CACGUAGGCGGCUUUGUAAGUUAGAGGUGAAAGCCCGGGGCUCAACUCCGGAACUGCCUUUAAGACUGCAUCGCUUGAAUCUGGGAGAGGUAAGUGGAAUUCCGAGUGUAAAGGUGAAAUUCGUAGAUAUUCGGAAGAACACCAGUGGCGAAGGCGGCUUACUGGACCAGAAUUGACGCUGAGGUGCGAAAGCGUGGGGAGCAAACA